UCUGCGGAAGCAAGCUUACUGUCGCGGAUAAUGUUGGGUGUAACGAGCUAGGCAGGCAACUGAACAGCUCACACUCUCGCGGUCAAUGGACAUGAGAUCGU
rnacentral:SRP_RNA from 14 species